UACGAAGGGGGCUAGCGUUGCUCGGAAUCACUGGGCGUAAAGGGUGCGUAGGCGGUUGUUUAAGUCAGGGGUGAAAUCCUGGAGCUCAACUCCAGAACUGCCUUUGAUACUGAAGAUCUUGAGUCCGGGAGAGGUGAGUGGAACUGCGAGUGUAGAGGUGAAAUUCGUAGAUAUUCGCAAGAACACCAGUGGCGAAGGCGGCUCACUGGCCCGGUACUGACGCUGAGGCACGAAAGCGUGGGGAGCAAACAGG
rnacentral:rRNA from 1 species